UACGUAGAAGACUAGUGUUAUUCAUCUUUAUUAGGUUUAAAGGGUACCUAAACAGUAUUAUUAACCCAAAUUAGGGUAUGUUAUUACUAGAGUUUUAUAAGAGAAGGGGAGUAUUUAUGGAGUAGAGAUGAAAUUUUUUAAUACCAUAACGACUGAUAAUGGCGAAAGCAACCUUCUAUUUAAUAACUGACGUUGAGGAACGAAGGCUUGGGUAGCAAACAGG
rnacentral:rRNA from 1 species